GACGAACGCUGGCGGCGUGCCUAAUACAUGCAAGUAGAACGCACAGUUUAUACCGUAGCUUGCUCCACCAUAAACUGUGAGUUGCGAACGGGUGAGUAACGCGUAGGUAACCUGCCUGGUAGCGGGGGAUAACUAUUGGAAACGAUAGCUAAUACCGCAUAAUAUUAAUUAUUGCAUGAUAAUUGAUUGAAAGAUGCAAUUGCAUCACUACCAGAUGGACCUGCGUUGUAUUAGCUAGUAGGUGAGGUAACGGCUCACCUAGGCGACGAUACAUAGCCGACCUGAGAGGGUGAGCGGCCACACUGGGACUGAGACACGGCCCAGACUCCUACGGGAGGCAGCAGUAGGGAAUCUUCGGCAAUGGACGAAAGUCUGACCGAGCAACGCCGCGUGAGUGAAGAAGGUUUUCGGAUCGUAAAGCUCUGUUGUAAGAGAAGGACGGGUGUGAGAGUGGAAAGUUCACACUGUGACGGUAUCUUACCAGAAAGGGACGGCUAACUACGUG
rnacentral:rRNA from 1 species